rnacentral:rRNA from 1 species
UUUUUGGGAAGAAAAAAAGGGGCCCCAUCGGGAAUUUGUGUUGAAAUCCGGAGACCAUUUGGACCUGUUUUUUUGAAACCCCAUUUGGGGCCCGGGUUUUCCCCGGGGCCACGUCUGUCUGAGGG